GCAGGCAGAUAUUUCUUUUACUGCCACCGAAUACAUUAGCAUGGGAUAAUGGAAUAGGACCCUGUCCUUCAUGUUUCGCGUUGGUUGUGUGUUAAGUGCGCGCGCAAGCGCGUGGCUGACACAUGGGGUUCGUCUAAAGGAGGACCAGGGUAAUGAUUAAUAGGGAUAGUUGGGGGCAUUAAUAUUUAAUUGUCAAAGGUGAAAUUCUUGGAUUUAUGAAAGAUUAACUUCUGCGAAAGCAUCUGCCAAGGAUGUUUUCAUUAAUCAAGAACGAAAGUUAGGGGAUCGAAAACGAUUAAAUACCGUCGUAGUCUUAACCAUAAACCAUGCCGACCAGCGAUUGGGAAACGUUUCACACGGAAGUGGUGCCGGGGGGGGCCCCUCCUUUUGUUCCGAAAAAAAGGGCCAACAAAACCCCCUUUCGUUUGGUUUCCUUCAACGAAGGGUUCCCUCCCC
rnacentral:rRNA from 1 species